rnacentral:rRNA from 1 species
ACUCAAAGGAAUUGACGGGGACCCGCACAAGCGGUGGAGCAUGUGGUUUAAUUCGACGGUAAGCGGGGAACCUUACCAGGUCUUGACAUGCAACUACACGGUCUAUGAAAGUAGACCUUCUUCGAGAGUGUUGCACAGGUGCUGCACGGUUGUCGUCAGCUCGUGCCGUGAGGUGUUCGCUUAAGUGCGAAAACGAGCGCAACCCCUAUCGUUAGUUACAAGUGUCUAACGAGACUGCCGGCGUUUAAGCCGGAGGAAGGUGGGGAUGACGUCAAAUCAGCGUGGCUCUUACGACCUGGGCCACACACGUGCUACAAUGGGUAGGAACAAAGGGACGCCAAGGAGUAAUCCGGAGCAAAUCCUAUAAAACUACCCUCAGUUCGGAUCGUGGGCUGCAACUCGCCCACGUGAAGCUGGAAUCGCUAGUAACCGUAGAUCAGCCUCGCUACGGUGAAUACGUUCUCGGGUUUUGUACACACCGCCCGU